AGAGUAAGGUGUAGCCAAGGACAGACUUGCCGGGAAACUGGCCAUUAUGUCUAGAUUACCACCUUGUUCUGUGCUUCUGGCAAGUAUCCUUGGCUGCAUACCACUCUCU
rfam:Brachypodium distachyon strain Bd21 chromosome 5, whole genome shotgun sequence.